rnacentral:lncRNA from 1 species
CUCCCACCCACUCCUGCCCGUCCGUCUUCUGCCAUGGGAUGAUGCAGUAAGAAGGCCCUCGCCAGAUGCUGGCGCCUUGAUCUUGGACUUCUCAGCCUUCAGAACUAGAACACCACCACUAAUGGGAAGACUGCCCCCUGACCGGCACAUGGCCUCAGCAUUCAUCCACAGAUGCUCCUCAAAUUGUUUUAAAAACAGCUUUUUUUAAAAGCUGUUUGUCUAUGAAGAUUAAAUGAGUUAAUAAUAUAAGCAAAGCACUUUGCAUGGCUACUGGGCACGGUGGUUCAUGCCUGUAAUUCCAGCACUUUGGGAGGCCGAAGCAGGUGGAUCACCUGAGGUCAGGAGUUCAAGACCAGCCUGAUCAACAUGGCGAAACCCUGUCUCUAUUAAAAAUACAAAAAAAAUAGCCGGGCAUGGUGGCACGUGCCUGUAAUCCCAGCUACUUGGGAGGCUAAGGCAGGAGAAUCGCUUGAACCUGGGAGGCAGAGGUUGCAGUGAGCCGAGACCUCGCCGUUGCACUCCAGCCUGGUUGACAGAGCAAGACUCUGUCUCAAAAAACAAAAAAACCCCAGCUUUUGUCCAGAGGUUGCUUUUUGUGGGUCUGUACGCUGAGGCCAAGUUCUAUGUAAGCAGAGCCCUCCCACCUCACCUCCAAACAAUGCCUCUAAACCAUCACAAUCUGAAAGGAAAAUAAAUCCCUUUCUUCAAUGGUGACCUGAAGCUAGCCAAGGACCGGGUGCUGGCAGGUGGCCUGCGAGACUGGGUCGGAUCCCGGGUUACUGUCUGAGGAGGGAUGCCGUGCUGUAAGGGUUGGGGAGCCAGUGUCUGGCUUCCUUGUCACCACAAGACCUGUGGUUUCCAGCUCUGUCUGCAUCCAGGUCCCACUAACCAACAGCAGGAGAGAAAACAGUUGUGCACACAGGCGGACGCGCACACGCGCACCUGGCCCCCCAGACGUGCACAGCCCUCAGAGGAAGUGGAGCACCAGAUGUUCUGGGUUUCCUGUUCGACGCUUCCACAGCUGGUCGAGUCUGUGGUUGUGGUUUGUCUGUCUCGGGCUCAUGUGAGAGACAAAAGCUGGGCUGACGGGAAACCUCUUCUCUCGGCCCCCACUCCCCAGCUCUGACUGAUUAGGAAACCUGGCAGGUCAGAAAUUUCCUGAAACACCCAGAGCUGGAUUCUCCCAAGAAGAAGCUGAACCCCCAACUCCCAUCCCUGAGGAGCAGCCCCUGGGCUGAUGAUCAGGACUUACAGAACCUGGGGCGAUGGAAACCUCUACAAAUAUCCCAUUUAGAAAGACCGCCAGCCCUGCCAACAGAAUGAAACGGAGGCCAGGUUGCUAUGGUCUCUACUCCAAUGCCUGACAUUGAGCCGCUGCUGCAAAACACUCAGCACAUGAAGGAAUGAAUGAGGAACAGAGAACUUCACCUUUGGGGGUUGGGUGUACAAGCCCCAACUGGGCCCCAAGUCCCAUAAAUAGCUUUGGAUUCCAACAUACAAGCAUUUGACGCAGCGAGGUGCUGCCGACUUGCUCUGUGACUUGGAGCAAGUCAUUUAGCCUCUCUGGGCCUGGUGUCCUCAUCUGCAGAAUGGAGAUGAUAAUAUCUACUUCACAAAGGUGUGAAGGCCCUGUGAGACACCGCAUGUGGAUUUCCUCGACAUUGUUUGCCCAUCGUAACUGCUCCAGAGAGGCUGGGCUCCCUUUUCUCGUUGCAACACUGCUGUUUAUUUCAGGAGAUACUCUAAAAGGGAAGCAAGCUAAAACAAAGAACAACCAAAAACACUGAUCCCGGGACAACUGCCCGGCAGGACAGCAGAGCAAGGGUACUUGGUGCUCUUCGUUGGGGGGAUGUUGGGAGAAGGGGCUGGAGCCAUCCCAGGGUCUCCAGGCUCUGGAAGGGAGCACCCCAUGUCCUCCUCUGGGUGUGGAAUAGGGUGAGUGUCUUAGGGGUGGAGAGAGAACAGGCAGAGUGUGCUCUCACCCCUUAGCUCUGUAGUGAUUUUAAUGAUUAAGGCUACUGUUCGGUCUGCAUUUGGACCUGAGCAACAGGGACCCCUGCCCAGAGGUCCAUCCUUCAGCAGCGUGCACUGCAUCCCCCUCCACUGCAGCUGACUCUAUGAGAUGAAGCAUCUGUCGCUCAGUGUAGCCAUCAGGUCCACUGCCCCUGAAAUAUGACUGACUAGGUUCAAAUGUUGACUCUGACACUUAGAAGCUGUGCCACCUUGGGGCAAGUUACUUCAUCUCUCUGUGCCUUACUUUCUUCCUUUAUAAAAUGGGUAAAAUAAUAACCACACCAUCGGUUGUCUAUGAAGAUUAAAUGAGUUGAUAAUAUAUGCAAAGCACUUAGCAUGGCUACUGGCACAAGGGUCAGUAAACGUUAACUGUUCCACACA